AUUGAACGCUGGCGGCGUGCCUAACACAUGCAAGUCGAGCGGUAACAGGUGUAGCAAUACAUGCUGACGAGCGGCGAACGGGUGAGUAAUGCUUCGGAAUCUACCUUAUGGUGGGGAAUAACUAGCCGAAAGGUUAGCUAAUACCGCAUACGUCCUACGGGAGAAAGCAGGGAUCGCAAGACCUUGCGCCAAAAGAUGAGCCGAAGUCGGAUUAGCUAGUUGGUAGGGUAACGGCCUACCAAGGCGACGAUCCGUAGCUGGUCUGAGAGGACGACCGGCCACACUGGGACUGAGACACGGCCCAGACUCCUACGGGAGGCAGCAGUGGGGAAUAUUGGACAAUGGGGGAAACCCUGAUCCAGCGACGCCGCGUGUGUGAAGAAGGCCUGCGGGUUGUAAAGCACUUUUAGUGGGGAUGAAAUGUGCAGGGUUAAUACCUCUGCAUUUUGACCUAACCCACAGAAAAAGCACCGGCUAACUCUGUGCCAGCAGCCGCCGCUG
rnacentral:rRNA from 1 species